ACAGAUCUAAUAAUUUAUGUUGCCAACUUGUGCUUGUAUGUUGCUAACUUGUGCUUGGAUGUUGAUCUGUUGAAAGUCAUGCUGUUUUUUUUGUAUUUUGUUUUCUUUCCAUAGUUGUGGUGACAGUACAUGGAGAGAUUGACCCUGCUACGGGAAUGGUUAUGAAUCUGGCUGAUCUCAAAAAAUAUAUGGAGGAGGCGAUUAUGCAGCCCCUUGAUCAUAAGAAUCUGGAUAUGGAUGUGCCAUACUUUGCAGAUGUGGUGAGGUGGGUGGCACUGUAUCUUGCCUUAUGUGGAUUGUAAAACAAGAAUUGAUUUGAAUACUUUGAUUGUUGUGUGAUUUCUGAAGUUUUAAUUUAAUGAAAUCUUUCGAAACUAGAAUUUCUAUUUUCUGUAAAUAUUAAACAUGAAAUUUUAUUGUUUGCAUUUUG
rnacentral:sRNA from 1 species